rnacentral:tmRNA from 1 species
GGGGAUGUAAAGGUUUCGACGGGGGUGUAGAAUCAGGAUAAGCGAGCGGUAGUUGGUUCAGUCUACCUUAAAAAGGACCCGUUAAAUAUAAACGCUAAAAAUAAUAACAAUUUCGCAUUAGCAGCGUAGUCUGCCCGCGUGUCGACUUAGGUUUCCCUGUAGGCCUCUGAUUCGGCAUCGAUUAUACAGGCCAACUCUAAGAGAGUUCUCGGUAUCUUAGAGGACUUACGAGAUAGAUGACUAAAUAGUCUGUUAAUGGACGAUUUAGAAGUCAAAACAUUAAAUCAUUAACUACGCUCGUAGAAACUUCUGUGGAAAUGCUUUCGGACGCGAGUUCGACUCUCGCCAUCUCCACCA